UAAUGUAGACAGAGAAAGGGAAGCCCCGCUAGAACAGGACUUCCCGCGCAAGCCGCUUCAAAGGCGGUGGCAUUAACAUUAGACUAGAUA
rnacentral:sRNA from 1 species